rnacentral:lncRNA from 7 species
CGGACAGCGUCGCGAUGGACCCAUCCAACCAGAAGGGCGGCACUCGACACGAGCCAGACCCAGACCAGACAAGAGGGGGCGCCAAACCGCCAAGGCGAGCGGAGCUGUGGUGAGGGGGACAGCGGACAGCGGCUGGCGCCGACUUCCGACGUGUGUCCGACGCGGAUGCGUGCUUAAACAAAAAAAAAAAUAGUAGUAGCGUCAGCUGUGGGGGCCUUACCCAAUCACGCGCUAAUAAUUUCGUCCGUGACCUGUACUGUACGCGCUACAUUCUCUGCUGCUAAUUAACCUGUGUCCGGUGCGAGCAUGGCAGACGGUGAUGGUGCACGAAAGGGUUGCAUGCGUGGUUUUUUCUUUCUUUCUCUCGGAGUCUAUCUGAACUUAGGAGUUGUUUGGUUGGGGCUAUUUUAGCCCGUAAUCAUUCACACUGCUAUUUCUUUCCGUUGCUUCACGUUUGUUUGCAGCAAUCCGUAAUCCAUCACGGCGCGAUGUGGGAUAGCGGGCUGUAGGAUUUCAUUGCCUCUCCCAUGGCAGUGGUAGCCGAUCCCGCGCAGAGCUUAGCAGAUACAAAAUACAACCAAACAAAUCACGUGAUUACUUCCACUGCAACAACUAUCGGCAGCAGUUCGCUCCGUUCCCGUUGCCGCUGGUCGCGUUGAACCAAACACUACCAUAG